CUAUGCUUAGCCCUAAACUUAGAUAGUUGCCCUAAACAAAACUAUCCGCCAGAGAACUACUAGCAACAGCUUAAAACUCAAAGGACUUGGCGGUGCUUUACAUCCCUCUAGAGGAGCCUGUUCUAUAAUCGAUAAACCCCGAUAUACCUCACCAUCUCUUGCUAAUUCAGCCUAUAUACCGCCAUCUUCAGCAAACCCUAAAAAGGAAGAAAAGUAAGCACAAGUAUCUUAACACAAAAAAGUUAGGUCAAGGUGUAGCUCAUGAGAUGGGAAGUAAUGGGCUACAUUUUCUAAAAUUAGAACACCCACGAAAAUCCUUAUGAAACUAAGUAUUAAAGGAGGAUUUAGUAGUAAAUUUGAGAAUAGAGAGCUCAAUUGAAUCGGGCCAUGAAGCACGCACACACCGCCCGUCACCCUCCUCAAGUGGUAGUUCCCAAAAAACCUAUUUAAAUUACUACACCCACAAGA
rnacentral:rRNA from 1 species